UCAUUAUUUGACCGUAUUUCAAAGAUAAACAAAAUCCAGUUACAACUCCGAACCGCUAGAUGGCAGCAGUACACAAACACGGGGCCAAAUCUCACGAGAAAGAUUUCCGCUUUUUGAAAAGCAACAACAUCAGCGAGCAGCCACGAGGAAAGUAUGUACCACACUUGUUUGGUCUUAGUUCACUAAAAUUCAUUAAUUUCAAAGUUCAACAUGAAUGGUGGUGGUCCACUGCAGAAGCAAGCAUUUGAAAAAACAUCAGUUCUCAGUUAUUAAAGAUGCUGUGUUGAACAACUUCCCAGCAGCAACAGAACUGGAAGUGAAGGAUGCAAUGGGGGCAUUUCAAACAGGCACCAGGGAGCACGGGGGGGGGGGGGGGUAUAGAAAUUAGU